AUGAUCAUUUACUUACAGAACGAUAUCUUUUUCUUCCUCAUUCUUAUUUUGGUUUUCGUAUCACGGAUGUUGGUUCACGCUUUAUGGCAUUUCAACGAGCAAACUAAUCCAAUCCCACAAAGGAUUGAUCUCAAUGUUCUCGUCAUGACCAAUGCUCCUAACGAGGGUGACUUUCCCAUAGACCAACCUCCCGUUGGCGGACUACCAGACCUCCAGCAGGAAAUGGCGCACGCCGCCCAUCCCGAAGACAUAAUUGCGGAGUUGACUUCCAAGGUUGAAAGAAUAUUUCACGAAGUAGGCACUCCUCUUCCUUUAGAGGAAGGUGAAUCUGCGCGAUCGUUCACUGAAAAUCAUGUAUUGUGGAAUAGUGAGGGAGGAGAUACUCUUCAACAAAUCUUCUCCGAUUAUACGGAAGCCGGGGACGCAAGCGAAUUCGUCGCAAUAGCCACCAAUCUGGCGAAGCGGUUUCGCCGCGCCGAGCUCGGUGAACCGGAUUCUCCCGACCCCGAUGCGCCUUUGGAAGAGCAGGAGGCUCAUUCCACGGGAUCCCCUGAAAGCACAAAAGCAAAUGAUGGGGCGAACAAGGCAGGCCCGUCUUCUUCGCGGAAGCGUAAAAGGUGGGAUGAUGAUUUGGGGUCCGAAGAUGAUGAUUCGGGGGGCCCCGGGGAAUCUCCAGAUCCAGUGGAAAUCGUUUACGAAGGGGAUGCACAAGGGUACAACUGGGAGGGGAAUUAG
rnacentral:rRNA from 1 species